UUGUUUUGUUUUGUUUUGUUUUUCUUUUCCCUAAUGCAAAGGACAAAAUUGAAGGAACUAUUUUGGAAAGGUUAGGGGGAGAAAAAGGCUGGACUAAGGUGCUGGUGGAAGGAGAAGCCAUUUUGACAGCAAAAGAGACAUGACAGACAUUUUCUGUUCCUGGGACAGCUUGUGCCGCUUGUCCUGUGCUUCACCUGCCUUCACGUGCAUGCCCAAAGCUGUGCUCUGUGUGAGCAUCCCUGCAACAGUGUCAGCAGGGUUCUGAGCUGCUGCCUGAGUCAGAUUCCUCUUUUCAGGAAUGGUACCUACAUUACAAAACCCAUUGAUUUUGAUCCACAGAAACAGUCCCACCACAGGGGUUGAGACUAUUUGUGUGAGUAAGUGCUCUCUCUGACAUGACAGAACUUGCCUGAAGCUGAAGGAUAAUUUUCAGACAUCUGCUCCUUACAGAAGGGGCUUCUUCUCUCACAGACCACAUUUCAGCUUUUGGGAGUUCCUUCAUUAUGCUUUCUAAGCAGAGAGCUGAGUUCACAAGUUACCCCGGAGUGAUUAGAGACAUAAAGCUCCCCCCUCCCACCGUCUGCCGACUCGGUGCAUCAUUGCAAUUGCUAAUUUAAGCAGGACGUGAGGACCCCACAAGACAUCUCUGCUGGUGAGGGCACUGGGUCACCUUGGCUUGCUCUCAUGGGGCAUGCCACUCCCUGUGCCCCCUGACAGAGAGUGAGGGCAGAAGAAUACACCUGUGCUGGCCAGGUUUAUUCAGAAGAGGUAAUUUUCCAUUUGUAAUAUGAACAGGCCAUGUCCACUGCAUACAAAACAUGACAUGAUGGGCUUUUUUACCUUAAAGCAAAAAAUAAGCAAGGUUCCAAUCUGUGUACAAUCCUCUAACAUUGUGGCAUUGUGGCAUGGUAAGGCCUUUUAUACUGUGUUUUUUCUCAUCUUGUGCUGUCUAAAAGAAGAAAGUGUUCCAGGUUCAUCUUCUAGAAAUCGUGGGGGGGAAACAAAAGAAGAAAAAAACCCAAAAAACAACAACAUUUUCUCAAGAAAGAGAAGAAAGAAAGAAAAGGUUAGUUUACCACAGUGUUGAUACCUAUUUCCGGCUUCCAGAGAAGAAAGACAAUAUCAGAGGGGCUCAUAAACAAAAUAUUAUCUUUGUCCCGGAUAGGACAUAAUUUAGCUAGAGGAUUACUCUUUAUUUCUUUUCUAUAGGAGCUGUUCCAAGAUUAGAUGAUAAUGAUGAGCCUAAUGUUGAUUUAAAAUUUGGAGAAGAGUAGUCCAUAGUAUGUUUGUUAAAGGACAGGGACUAAUUCUUACUUUGCUGAGGACUGAAUUUCUCUUUCAGAUUUCCUUGAUAAGUCAGACAUUACUAAAUUCCUUGUACUUUACAGUACAGAUUAUUUGUUAAAUUAAUUUAAAAAAAGGUGUUAGGGUAAUGUAAUAGAGAAUUAAAAGGCUGAGAUAAAAAGUUUCAAAUCUGUUGAUUGUUGUAACUAUUAGAAAUUUCUGAUAUCACUACCUGUAAACCUUUUCAGUGUGCCAGAUUGAUACCGAGAACGUAUUUUAGGUCUGUUUUUUUAUAAUGAUGAUCAAUAUUAUUAGCAUCAAAAGUGUUAGAAAAACAACCUGAAACAACAUAAUUCUUUGUUCCUUUAAUGACAGUCAGGGCAAUGUUGAAUCCUGUGCUGUUUUAUUGUUUCUUUUCCUUACAGAUGAAAUUUAAGUGAAGGCUUAUCAGAAGGGUUUCUUCUGUUAUCAGAGCUGCUUUGACUAUCAUUCCUCCUUUCCCUUUGCCAAGCCUGUGUUUGCAAAACAGAAAACCCGAAUCCAAGUCCCUGCAUCUGGUGUCAAUUGAAAUAAAACAAAGACAGGCUCAUUUUAGCCACAUAAUUUAAGAAAGAAGACAGUAUGAUAACAUUUAGAACAAGCCUCAUACACACCAGCCAGCCAUUAUCCUUCAGAAGCAGGUGGCAGAUGGCAUGAAAUCAUCUUCGUCAGACCUCCAAAGCUUUGCUGCCACAUUUGGGAGCAUGGUUCUUGUAAUGACUACUUGCAUAUUCAUACUGCGUGAUGGGCACUUCUCGAUUUCUCUGCACCUCAUUUUGGAAAGAAGCUAAUGUGGCUACACAUGUACUUUAUUGCACCAUUCACAUUUGGCAUCAUUAAGAAGAAGGAGAAGAUGAUUUUUUUUUUUUUCCCCUUUUUUCUGGGUGCGUCCUUCUCUGUUUGCGUCAGAAUGGCACAGGGAAUCAAAAUGCGUGGCAGUCUGGAGCACCACGACUUGCCUGAAGCUGUGAUGAGAUCAGCCUCUGUGUAAUGCCUCCUCUGUGAAAUAAAAUCAGGAUUAGUCCUCUAUGUCAUAUGGACACAUCUGACAAAAAUAGAUUCUCCUUCAGAUCUAGAGCUCGAAGGUUGCUCUCCAGUUUUCAUGACACGGUUCUCAAAUUCCUUUUUAAAACCAGGUGUGUGAAGAUAUCUGUGGUUUACAAAUCAUCAAAGUGAGGCUCAUUGCUUUUCCAAGAGUGCCAGGAGAAUCAAUGGCAGAUCUAGGGAAUUUACUCUGAGUCAUGAAAGAGCAAUUUGAUCAGACCUUACUUGCACUCCUGAGUCUGUUUCGCAGACGGCAGUUCAGGUAAGUCCACGAUAAGAUUCCUCCUGACUUUAGUGGGCUGUCACACACUGGCUUAUGUGUGUUGUAGUAGCUUAUGCUUCAGUUAAAGACUUUUGUAAGCUAGUGAGGGUGCAGAAAUCAGUUUUACAUUCUUGCAAGUGCUAAGAAAUGCAAAAAACAUGAAGCCCAAGAACUCAAAAAUGCAGCAAAAUGAAAACAUUUGCUUCAGUCUGCAUCAACAUCAACCCCAUCAGCUUCUAAUCCUGAAACCACCAUUUUAGAAAGGGAACAAAGAGACACAUGACUGAUUUUGAUCUUUCAGCUAUUUCCUGGGUGUUCAAAGGCAAACUGGUACACUGGAAAUCCUCUGGCACAUUACAUAUGGCUGCCAGAAGUCACUGCCACUAAUGUUUCCUCUGGCAAUAUAAACAUAUUCUAGCAUUGCCUCUAGCACUUCAUUUCUCCUGCCCACAGGAGAGCAACAGUCAAGGACCACAGGUUCAGAAGAAAUUAUCCUGCCUAACAGAUGAGUGCAGGGUGCAAGCACACAUGGGAAAUCAGAUCAGAAGAAUCAGAAAGAGAAUAAGAAGCGAUGUGUCUUAGUUCAGAGUACUUGCCUACUGCAUUUCAUGGUUUCCAGGACAUUUCUUAUAAUGGAUCUUCUCUAAAUCCCCAGGUAGCAAAGUGCUUGUGCUCAAUUUAAACACAUGCUUAAUUUAAGCAUGUAAAUAGUCCAAUUUAUGUUGUAUCAAGGCCCAAUUCAUUCUCAUUAAAACCUUAUUUUAAAAACCUAACAAUGUUGCUACUGCUUGCUUUCAUCCUCUUCAUCUAUGAGUGUCACUUUUCCCCUUUAUUUUCCUUUUAAUUUUGCUGCACUAAAUGUUGCAUAUUCAUAUAGCAGCUACAAGUUUUGUCUGAGAAAAAUACAUUGCCAUCUAAGACUGCUCUGCUCAGCCGGAAGAAUUAUUAAAAACCAUAAACAAAUACAGAUAUGCACUGUGACAUCUGGAUGGAAAUAACCUACAGUCACAUUUUACAAAGGAAGAGCAACCAGAAGAGCUCAGAUAUGUAAAAUGAACAUUAAUGGCAUCUUAAUGUUCCUCAGCUGCCUCUAGAGGGUUCAAAUAUGUUGCAUUACAGCCAGUUCUAGAGGGGGUUUAUCAGCAGAUGGAGCCUUGUACGAAAUCAAAAUACUCUAUCAGGUACAUUAAUGCCCCAAAUUGAUACAUUAUGAUUUUUUUUCAGGGAAGGAGGGAUGCUUAUAAUUGAUUAUAUAUAUUUUGUUGUUGUUGUUAAGCCAAUCAGUAUUUGCUUGAAAGCAUCAAAAGCUGGUAAUUUUUUCUGGUUGUUUUUUUUUUUUUCUUCAUUUUGCCAAGGGUGAUUUAUAUGCAUAGAAUAUUAUGAGAGUAUUGAGAAGGGAAAGGAAGAUUUUUUUUAAAAAAUAAUUUUGUGUUGCUUAGUUUCAGCAGAACUUUAUAGUUCACCCACAGCAAAAAUAAAAAGGAAGGAUGAAACAAAUGAAUCUGAGUGAGGUAUAUGAAUAUUUCUGUGCAUGUUUGUGCUAUUAUGAGUAUGGGGUUCAAGCUGAUAUGACACAUGGAUGCAAAGAAACCUACUGAAAGAAAAGGACUUAAAUAAAAGAAAUUGACUAAAUCAGAAACUAUGGAAAGACAUUUGUUAACUUCUUUUAACAAAGAAGGUGCAACUUUUCUAAAAUCUUUUCUUAGAAGUUCUGUAAGGUCUUUUUGCAGACAUCUCAAAUAACAUUAUACUGAAGGUUCUUCACGUGCAAAAAACACAUAUUUGACACUUGGGAAAAAAAAAAGCCAAACAUUAUGAUGUGUUUGCCUUGUUUGUAUUCAGUUUUAUGAGAUUAUAUUUCAGAUAAUUGUGAGGGAGGAACUCUUUGUAGAAUCAGAAUAUUUUAUGUGUAGUUAAACACUCAGGAAUUAUAUUUUGGAGUGGAAUUUCUCCCCAAAACUGUGCUGUUGGUAUUAGUUUUUUGAUUCUGGAAGAUGGACCUGCUUUUGUCAUUCUGUUUUCUCAAUCCAGGACCAAUAUAAACACUGUAAUUGCUCAAUGGUUUUUCUUUAUGGAGAAAACAUGACUUGUGUCACUGCCUGAAGAAAAAGAAACUGCUCUCAGGCUUCAACAGAAAAUACCGUCACCACAUGUUUGAAAAGUCCCUGAAAUGACAAAUACUGAUUUCAGUCAUUGCCUUCUGGAGUCAAUAGCAGACAGAUAUAUUGUGAAUAGUGAACCCAUUUCAGGGCAGGCUUAAACAGACUCUUUCAGUUCCACACCAAAGACCAAGAUCUUGGUUCCCCGAUUUGCCAUGCCUGGAGUGGUGAAGGACAGGUUGAAUGAGACCCCGAGCAUCCUGACCUAAUAGGUGGUGUCCCUGUGCAUGGAGUAGAGGUUGGAACUAGAGGAACUUUAAGACCCCUGCCAACCUAAACCUUUUUAUUAUUCUCUGAUUCCAAAAUCAUCAGAAACUGUAGUGAAUCCCUUCUGAAUGUCGUGUAUCUCUUUCCACCAACUAUAUCAGAAACCUCAAGUAGCAACAGUUUAACUUCAGCCAUAGAGUAAAUGCAAACAGGUGGAAAUGUGGAACAUCACUGCUGCUGAAUCAUAUAACUGACCAACUAGGAAGAAUCAGUAUAAUAAAGAUUAUUUUGAGGUGGGAGAUAGUGGAAAUGGAUAUUUACAUCCUCCCUGUUCAGCGUUUGACGUAACAGCUCGUCUGCCAAAGAGUGUUUAAUAAGAGCACUGAGCCAGAUUCUCAGAUGGUGAAAUAUGCUCUACUUCCACUCUGCACACCCAUAAGAUAGAGCCAUUAUUGGAAUUAGAGCACAGAACUGGCACUCUGGAAAGUUAUAUUCUAAGGUGCAAAAUUCAUCUAGUAAUUCCACCUCUUUCCACACAAGAAGCACAAGAGGAAAUGGGCAAAUGUGGGUCACCAGGUGAGGACCAGAUAACACUUUUGUUUCAGAAAUGUUACAGUGGAGAUUUGCCAUUGGCAUAAUGUUUACCUAGUUCCUGAAAUGUGGCCUCACAGAUCAAAUUGGACAUAAACAGCAAUACCUUGUAGUGGGAAGGUACUGGUAAGCAACCACUUCUCUUUUUUUGCCAUGCCCUGUAUUCCAAGUGCAACUGUGUGCAUCAGAGGCUUUAUGAGUCCUCAAUGGAUUAGGAUUUCACCUUGAGUCAGCCCUGGCUCCAUGCUUUCAUUUCCUUUUUGUUUCUCAGCCUGACACAGACUCAUCAACACAGAGACACAGUGGGGUUUUUUCCUCCUGCACCUUAUACAGUGCUGAACGUAGAGUCAGAGCCUACCAAUGUACACAUGGAAGAAAACCUGCAUCAGUCUGACAAAAAAAAGGAUACUGAAUGCUAAAUUAAUAUCUAAUAAACUGUUAAAUAAAGUGCCUUGGGCAGCCACUUAAAGUGAAAUGGGAGGCAGCUGGGCCUUGCCACAGGUCUGGACCUCAGCCUGGUUCUCUGAUGAUGAUUUUUAUAUGGCAGUGGCACAGAGCAAUGAGCAGGAUCAUCACAUUGCCUGGAGAUGUGUUGGUUUGGGAAGUGCUGACAUCACAGUUAUCAAAGCCUUCUGCACUGUGGAAGGUUAUGGUGCUCAUGCAAGGGCUUUCAUGCUCUCAUUUAAGCUUUACAGCUUACAAAGGAGAAUUUCCAUUUAUAGAGGUCCUUCGGGGCUGCUGGCUGGUCUGUUUGGCAUGAAUGACUGACACACCACAGAACAGUAGCAAUGAUAUGUGCUGUACAUAAGCUAACAAUGAUUGAUUAAAGUAAUAAGAGAGGGAAGAUACUAUGCCUGAAGAGACAAAUUAUAUAAGCAGCUUGCCUACCACUAUGGAGAUAACUGAAGUAAGAAUAAAUGUUGACAAUGGAUUAUGUAAGUCAUUGAUGGCAUUUGGAUUUCUGAAAAGGAUGCAGAAAAAAUAAAGCAUCAAUCAUUUCAUUACA